CGUGACGGCGCGAGCAGGUGCGAAAGCAGGUCAUAGUGAUCCGGUGGUUCUGAAUGGAAGGGCCAUCGCUCAACGGAUAAAAGGUACUCCGGGGAUAACAGGCUGAUACCGCCCAAGAGUUCAUAUCGACGGCGGUGUUUGGCACCUCGAUGUCGGCUCAUCACAUCCUGGGGCUGAAGUAGGUCCCAAGGGUAUGGCUGUUCGCCAUUUAAAGUGGUACGCGAGCUGGGUUUAGAACGUCGUGAGACAGUUCGGUCCCUAUCUGCCGUGGGCGCUGGAGAACUGAGGGGGGCUGCUCCUAGUACGAGAGGACCGGAGUGGACGCAUCACUGGUGUUCGGGUUGUCAUGCCAAUGGCACUGCCCGGUAGCUAAAUGCGGAAGAGAUAAGUGCUGAAAGCAUCUAAGCACGAAACUUGCCCCGAGAUGAGUUCUCCCUGAGACUUAGAGUCUCCUGAAGGAACGUUGAAGACGACGACGUUGAUAGGCCGGGUGUGUAAGCGCAGCGAUGCGUUGAGCUAACCGGUACUAAUGAACCGUGAGGCUUAACCUUACA
rnacentral:rRNA from 2 species